GCAUAACGCGAAGAACCUUACCUGGCCUUGACAUUGAUAGAAUCUGCUAGAGAUAGCGGAGUGCCCUUCGGGGAGCUUGAAAACAGGUGCUGCACGGCUGUCGUCAGCUCGUGUCGUGAGAUGUUGGGUUAAGUCCCGCAACGAGCGCAACCCUCGUCACUAGUUACUAACGGUUCGGCCGAGGACUCUAGUGAGACUGCCUUCGUAAGGAGGAGGAAGGUGAGGACGACGUCAAGUCAUCAUGACCCUUACGGCCAGAGCGACACACGUGCUACAAUGGGAUGUACAAUGAGACGCAAUACCGCGAGGUGGAGCAAAUCUAUAAAACAUCUCUCAGUUCAGAUUGUCCUCUGCAACUCGAGGGCAUGAAGUUGGAAUCGCUAGUAAUCGUGGAUCAGCAUGCCACGGUGAAUACGUUCCCGGGUCUUGUACACACCG
rnacentral:rRNA from 1 species